rnacentral:rRNA from 1 species
UGCGUAGGCUGCUAUGAAGGUCUGAUGUGAAAUACCACGGCUCAACCGUGGAACGGCGUUGGAAACCACAUGGCUGGAGUGAGACAGAGGUAAGCGGAACUGAUGGUGGAGCGGUGAAAUGCGUUGAUAUCAUCAGGAACACCGGUGGCGAAAGCGGCUUACUGGGUCUUUACUGACGCUGAUGCACGAAAGCUAGGGGAGCAAACGGGAUUAGAUACCCCGGUAGUCCUAGCUGUAAACGAUGAGUACUAGUCCGUGGGGACCCCCACAUCCUCUCGGACGUAGCGAAAGUGUUAAGUACUCCGCCUGGGGAGUAUGGUCGCAAGGCUGAA